CAUCGUCAUCAGGUCAUAAAAUAUAGAAGAAUUAGCUCAAAAGCCAAGGUCAACUUUCUUCACUGCAGUUAUUUCCUUGUUACGAACCGUACUGAACAUAUCCAACUCUCCUCCAGAAAAAUAAUCACUUUCAAAGCACCCUCCACUCCACAAAAGUAACAGAGAUAAUGGACUCUGCAGAUUAAUUGAACCCGAUACAAUUGAAAAGUGAAGUUGUGACCGCAGAAGAGUUCAGCCCACUUCAAGAAUGACGACUAACAAGAAGAAACUACUUAUUUGUCAUGUUACAUCACAUCCCCGUUACAAAGUGAGGACGGGCGACUGUUAGAAUCUAAAGCAAACCACAUCACACUGGACGAGCCCACUUUCCUGCCUCCUUCUCGUCCUCGUCGUCAACUUCUUCCUCCCUUCUUUUUGCAAAUAGCAAAAGCAGUCGUCGUGGUCUGGUCGUGCAUGGUUCAGUUGGUACAUAUUCAGCAGCACUGAAUUAGUCUCUCUUCCCUUCUCCGUCUGCCACCACUUCAACUUUCACUCUGCUCCUGCUGCUCCUCUACUUUCUCCGCAGGGUGAAUUUGUGAGGGCAAAAAGUGAACCAGUUGAGUUUCCAGAGAUCGCAGCCAGCCAGCAGUGCUACAGACCACCAACGACUAUUACUUUCCGAGAAGAAAGUGCUGGGGAACGUCGAGAAAUUUUAAUCCGACCCUCAACUCAUCUUUCUCAAAUUGUUCCCCACUAAUAAAAAGUAAAAGUGAGUGAGUAUCAUCAUUUUCAUUGGGACGACGAGACCGAAAGGACGACCGACGUGGACAUCACAGCCGAGUGGGCUGCAUCGUAAUAGUAAAAGUAAAAAAUAAGUGUUGCAAUUCUCCCUGAAACUGCAGUGCCUGCAUUGUUGUAAUUUGCGGAGGAGAACUAUUUCAUUUCCAACUAGGCUGCCAUGAUACGAGGAUUAUUGCUACCCGACAUUUUUCUUUGGGGAUGACUAAACGACAACCGAGUAUGUAACGUUACUCGUAUUGGUGGAUGUUUCUCAUUUUACGGCAGAGUUUUUGUCAGUCAGAGAGAGGUUUCCAGACAGGAGGAAGUUUCACUCCCUUUGGGCGAACGUGGAUGGACACAUAACGCACCGCACUGGUGCUACUCGUUGGCGUCAGAAUAAUUAAGUGAGUGUUGGAGUGAAGUGACCUAUUUUUUGUGCAACUUUUGCCCACUAAAUUCUUUUGUGGAGUGGAUAAAAGAGAGAAAAAAGUGGAUCAGAUCCAAUUCUACGAGGACAAUGAUAACAAGUGAAUACAUCUUUAUUCCUCUGUCCGAGAAGGAGUGAUGAAACAUAGAAACUCGUAGUUUAUUGAGAGAUAAUAGUCAUUCAGUGAGAUGAGUGAAAGUGUGUACAUACUCGUCUCAUGGUUCUCGUUUUGUCGUCGCAGUUGCAGCUAAAAUUCGCAAACACACACAUAGAAAGAAGAAGACCGAGAAAGUGAGCAAAACAACCAAACUGGUGGAAUGCAGACGAAAACUUACACCCUGCGAGGAGUAGAUCCAUCCUGAAGUAAAAUUACAUUCUGUUGUUUUGCUGGACUGGGAAAAACUCUAUUUUUCCUCCCUCGAAAUAAAAAGAAGAAGAAGAUGCUGGAUGGAAUCCGACUAAAGAACUCGAGACGGAUUGUUCGCCGUGCGUCCAAAUUGUGCUAAAUCAGUUCUGAGAAUCAACCACUUUCAAGAAUUAGAAGGAAAGAGAGAGAGGACGCGGAUGCUUCUUGACCAUGACAAGUGCUCCCAUUAGUGGUUGUGUGCUACUCAAGUGAGGCGUGAUAACGUGUGACAUGAUCUGAUAAGAAAUUUCGUACUGUGUAUUUGACUACGCUACUUAUUUCCACGUGCUGAUCGCGUUCUUCCUCAUUUUUUUAUGGACAAUGAGUGGGUGUGCUAUGUAACUUGGGUGAGUGCGAACUUGUCGAAGGUGGACGUGAUUUAUCUCCUUUUCGUCAGUCACAACUUUCUCUCAUUAUUUGUUACUCUGUGAUUGCGUCACUCGCUCGACGAGUAAAUCCCACCUUCGAAAACUUGUAAUUACUUCCAUAGAUAUUUCAUUUCUGUUGAAGGAAGAACGUCCAUCCGAAGCUUGCAGGUGGGCUCGGGUUCAUCCUUCAAUUGUACCAACCAGAAAUGACUCCGAAAUGAAGGAAAUCGACAAAUACAAGUCCAACCAACGGCCACCACCACCACCACCACACCCAAGAACUCUACAUGAUCCAAUUCACUCCGUUUUCGCACGGAAAUAAGUGCCAUGCAGUUAAACGACCCUUCUCCCACCCUUCAAAGGCCGCUCCUUCCCCUCGCAAAUGUGAGGACUUGCACCAACUUUACUUUCGAAAUUGAACCUUUUCUCUACGUCAACUUCACGCCGACAAGAAAAAACGAGCCGUGCCGUUGCGAGCGUGAAAGUGUUUCUGGUUAUGAUAAUCUCCACCCCACGACGACACAGACACAACACAACGACCGCCACCAGUGCUCAUCAACAUGGCGAAAGUCGAGAAGGAUUACACCAUUCACCACCACCAAACUCAUUUCCGGACUUGAGAAGAAAAGUGACUACACGAAAUAUUCCGGGGUGGAAUUGAGAUUUCUGAGAUAGCAAAGAAGAAGAAGAAAAGUGCAAAGUGCAGACGUUUUUUUGGUCGUGGCGAAAUAAAUAAAGUGCCACUUGGCGAAAAAACUAUAAAAAUAUUAAGUGACUUUUUGAACAAGUAUUACAGCAGCAGUCCUCGUGCUACAAAUUAGAAUAAUGUUGCUCCCCACCACGUCCUGCAUCCUCCCCUUGUUGAUCGCUUCGUGUGCCUUGUUCCCAACGCUGGGUCGCGUGGAGGCCACCACCAUCCACCACGCCCACCACAAGAAGAGUGGUCCAGAUCAUGGCAAAGAUAUGGACAAACAGAGCAGCAGCAUGAUGGAGGACUAUGAGGACAUGUCGACUUCUUCAACCCCGUCGCCCCCACUCCCCGAACCGAUGGAACUAGUUUAUCAAAAAGUUCAGAUUGGACAGCCAGUAUUUGCACCACUAAACAUAAGUAUGGAUUUGAGCGAGAAAGCGGCUCUAGACUUACUCAUAACGAAUAGUAGAUAUGACAGGAGAAGUAUGCCGCCAAGUUUGGUCCCAUUGGACGUAAAUGUCAGUGUGUUACUGUUAACACUCGCAUCUCCGGAUGAAAGCAGCUUGAAAUACGAAGUGGAAUUCCUUAUGAACAUGGUUUGGGUUGAUAGCCGGUUGAAAUACAAUAUUACGAAUACAACCUCUGUGAACCUGACCUACUCUGCGGACAGCUACGAAGCUAUUCCGAUGAGAGCUAAUCCACGAAGAAGAGAUUACCUCGACGCCCUCCACCAUUUUCCAAAAGUGUGGAUUCCGGAUGUGUACUUUGUCAAACAUGGCGAUUUCAGAAUGAAUUUGGACCCGAAUCAUAUUGCCCUCCGCUUGCACCCCAAUGGCACAGUUGCUUUCACUACAAGACGCCACUUAAUACUCUCGUGUCAAGGGGAGCUGGGAAUAUUUCCGUUUGACGAUCCUCAAUGUUCAUGGAAUAUUGAGUCAAUUUCCAACGAACGGGACGCACUCGAGUUCAAGUGGCACACGGACACAGGGAUUUUAAGGAAAUCACCAAACUUAUCCUUUCUCAACGCCUACUUGGCAAAGAAUGAGACGACAUAUUGUAAUAGCUCACAUUGGCGGGGAAACUAUAGUUGUCUCGGGGUUCAACUUACUUUCAACCGGGACCGAGCCUAUUACUUCACGACCGUUUUUAUUCCUGACAUCAUCUUGGUGACAUCCAGCUUCAUCACAUUCUGGUUGGAAUGGAAUGCCGUGCCCGCCAGAAUCAUGCUUGGCGUCACCACCAUGCUCAAUUUCUUCACGACUAGCAAUACAUUUAGAUCGACUCUUCCUGUCGUGUCCAAUCUAACGGCGAUGAAUAUAUGGGAUGGAUUUAGCAUGUUUUUUAUAUAUGCGAGCCUCCUAGAGUUCGUUAUUGUUAAUUAUAUCGGAAGGAAGAGGCCAAGAAGAGCUUACCCUGAGCCUCCCGAUCCACAUUCGUCAGCUCAGUUGCGGAGAAGAAUUAUCGAAAAUCCUAUUCGUGUAGCGAAAACGGUGGAUGUCAUUAGCAGGGUCGUGUUUCCAAUAGCUUAUGCGGCGUUCCUCAUCUUCUUCUUCGUGAAACAUAAGGCGUUCGAAUGAGAUUUCUAUUUUGUCGACAUCCACCACACCCACCCACUUACAAAUUGGCUCACUGUGUCUCCUAACAAAUUUGUUUGGUUUGGACUAACAAUUAACAACUUUCCUUCGAGCCCAUGACACCUGCGGAGUGGAAUUUGCGAUGCGUUGAUUUACACAGCUUACAAUUAUCUAUGUGGAUGCGAUACAAGUGUGUGUCACAAAAAAUAAGCAUUCCAUAAAUAUUUUAUUUUCGUAACGUUACUUACAUUUUAACUUUCACCAUUGUGUUGAAACUACUUAUUACUGCGUGUAUAAUAAUCUGUACUAAUUAUUACAUAUGUACGUGUAAAUUUUAGCGUUUUAGACCAGUUUGCAACCAUUACAAUUAUACGAUCACUGUAAUUUAUGAUCUUACAUGUACAGUAUGGUCCAAAAAGAACUUUGCCUGGAGCAAUUUUUCCAGCAACUUUGCUGCGAUUUCUAUUAAUGUAAAAUUACAACAAUUAAAGUAAUUUUAGAACAUUUUAAUAUAUAUCAUUUUCAGAAAUUUUUGGAAAAUGUUAAAUUUUACAUUGUGAUUUUAUGCUAAUGGAAAUCACACAAAAGUUUCUGGAAAAGUUUCUCCAGGUAAAGUCCUUUUUUGACCACCCUGUAUAUAAAUAUCUAAAAACUUUUAAAUCUACUCAUGAAAAAAAUGUAGAAAAUAUAACCUACUUAAUUGUCAAUUGUACUAAAGUAAUAAUGUCAUGUACAUAAAGUAACUCACGAAAAAGGUCACAUCACAAAAAUAUCCCUUACAUACAUAAUUCUAAUAUAUGUAGCUGCGUAUAGCAAGUGAAUAUUUGAAGAUGAAGCGCAUUUCGAUCAAUAACUAAAGAAGGGAACUAAUUUUGCCUGACAUUUCUAAUCUAAAAAUCUAAUAAUACUAGUUCAAUGUAAAUUUAUUCAUGUAUAACAAACAGAACAGAAUUGUAGUAUAAGAGAAGCAAUAUCAAUCUUAAUCCAGAAAAAAAACUAUCUCGUCACACCUACAUAUUUACCAUUCUAAGAAGUAAAUAUAUACAAAAAUACAUAUCAUUACCAAAUAGAUCACACAUAAUUAAUUAACUACUCAAACUUACGUACACAAUUAACCUCACUCUAAUAAAUGUGUAAUAUCAUCAACUUACUACUUAUAUGCUAAUUAUAUUUUGAAGUAUAUCAAAAAUACUAGUGGUAAUUGUAUAACCUUCCUAAUUUCUUUGAAUUAGGAAAUCGAAAGACAAUUGUGAUAUGCAAUAGGCAGCCAAUACUUGUGUAAAGAUAUACUUACUUACCUAAUUAACAACCAUUAACUCUGCCAUUAAUUAACAAACUAGAAAUUGAUUUUAAAAAUUUACUUGAAAAUAUCUAAGCAGCAAGGUUUUUUCUCCAUAAAUAAAUGCAACGAGGUGCAUACAUAUUUAGAGUCACGAGCUAAUACACCAUACAAUACUUGUGUAAGCAGGUACAUAAUUAAAGAAAAUGAGUAGAUAAGUACUUAUCAACGGAAUGUUUGUUCUCCAGAUUUACGAAUUCUAAAUAUGUGUAUUUAGCAUACAUAAUUUAUUUAUUUGUAACACAAGUUUUUGUCUCAAAUUAAUUAGUCAAAUCUUCUGAAUACAUAAUUCUAGUCAAUAAAAAGUGUUUUGCUACAAAAUAUUAACUCCCCGAUUGUCUUUCGUGUGUACUUUUCCUAUUCACUCAAUUAUUUUAUUUUAUUUUAUUUUUAGCUGGGAAAUACAAUGCCGAUAUUUGUCUUUUUUUAUGUUACCUUGUCCAGGUUUCAUGAGCGAUAUUCAUCGAAUCACGAGUAGAUGCUUAGAUGAUUACUUAGGCUAAAAAUAAAAUACUGCUGAGGACCCUACUAACUCAUUGAGUCAUCCAAUACACGAACUAACCUCCAAAGUCGGUUUGAAAUCCUGUAAUGUUAACGUUGGGAAUAAUGUGUCCUUUCAGAUUCGAUGGGUCUUAUUAUUAUUCCAAUGAAGAGUACGACGACCGUUGAUGACGGAUGAUCAGAGCCCACACUUUUUAAUAAUUUUGCCUAAACCAUGUAUGAAAAUUCAGUUCAAGUUCGUUUAAUUUAUAAAAAUGUUGAUGUUAAAUUUUUAAAUAAAAGUUUGAAAAUUGCAAAAAUAUUA